rnacentral:rRNA from 1 species
UACAGAGGGUGCGAGCGUUAAUCGGAAUUACUGGGCGUAAAGCGCACGUAGUCGGCUUGUCAAGUCGGGUGUGAAAUCCCCGGGCUCAACCUGGGAACUGCAUCCGAGACUGACUUGCUAGAGUAUGGGAGAGGGAAGCGGAAUUUCUGGUGUAGCAGUGAAAUGCGUAGAUAUCAGAAGGAACAUCAGUGGCGAAGGCGGCUUCCUGGACCAAUACUGACGAUCAGGUGCGAAAGCGUGGGGAGCAAACAGGAUUAGAAA